AUGGCCUCUGUGCCAGUGUUGGGGAGGGCCUCACCAGAGCGUGGGCCCCCUCAUUUCCCUCCUGGCUGCUCCCUCCAGUGGAGCCACAGUGCCUACUGCCAACUCUUUGUGGUAGUCUUUGCUGUGCUUUAUUUCCUGCUGCCCCUGCUCCUCAUUCUUGUGGCCUACUGCAGUAUGUUCCGUGUGGCCCGAGUGGCUGCCAUGCAGCAUGGGCCCUUGCCAACAUGGAUGGAGACUCCACGCCGGCGAUCUGAGUCGCUCAGCAGCCGUUCUACCAUGGUCACCAGCUCAGGGCCCCCUCGGACCACCCCCCAUAGGACGUUUGGUGGGGGGAAGGCAGCUGUGGUCCUGCUGGCUGUGGGGGGCCAGUUCCUUCUUUGCUGGCUACCCUAUUUCUCCUUCCACCUUUAUGUUGCUCUGAGUGCCCAGCCCCUUCCUACACAACAGGUAGAGAGUGUGGUGACCUGGAUUGGCUACUUCUGUUUCACUUCCAAUCCUUUCUUCUAUGGCUGCCUCAAUCGACAGAUCAGGGGGGAGCUCAGCAAGCAAUUUGUUUGCUUCUUCAAGCCGUCCCCAGAGGAAGAGUUGAGGCUGCCCAGCCGGGAGGGCUCCAUAGAGGAGAACUUCCUGCAGUUCCUUCAGGGGACUGGUUGUGCCACUGAGCCGUGGGCUCCUCAAACCCCAGUCAGCCCAAAGCAGGAACCACCAGCUGUGGACUUCCGAAUCCCAGGCCAGAUUGCCGAAGAGACUUCUGAGUUCUUGGAGCAGCAGCUUCCUAGUGACAUCACUGUGUCAGAUGGCUACCUCCAUCCGACUCUCUCACCCCAGCCUGAACCAUGAUGCACCCCAGAGCACCUGAGGGAGAUGGGGCUGGGGUAGGGGAUGAGAGGGAGGACUGCUUUGCUGGGUAGUUUUCUUUUAGCCAGCUGUGGCCAGUGAGGGGGUCCUACACAUGGCCUGUUAUGGCAGCUUUCUGGAGCAGAGAGGAAGCAGAGCUAAGAGAGGGGAGCCUUUGGCAUCGGUGUGCAGAAGCUAGGGAUCUCUAGAAGAAGAUGCUUAGGACUGGCCUCUGAUCUCUCUCCUCAUGGCAGUGACCCACCUCCACCCCCUGGACAAUCUGGUACAAGAGACAAAGGUGGGGUAUGGGGAAAAUGGGGUUUCUAGACACUGGCAUUACCAGUUAG